CUAGCAACCUGGUAACGCUUCCAUUUAGGAAUUAAGAGAGCACACAGGAGAGCAAACUCAUCUCGCCCCAUGGCUCAGCCUCCAGGUAAACUGAUGGACACGAUCAGAAGGCCGGUCGCAGCAGCUUCAUCUCUUCAUCAUUCAGCGGCGAAGCAUCUGGCCACCUUGGCCCAGAGGAACGGAGUUAACAGGAGGUUCCUCCUCACUCUGCUGGCAUCCGCCGCAGCCAUACCUGAGGCCGGUGAAUCAAGAAAGGCCCUAUUGCAAGAUUAUGUGAAGAGAUCAAAGGAAAACAAAGAAAAGAAUGACAAGGAGAGGCGGGACGCCGUUUACAAAAGGAAUUACAAGGACUAUUUCGGUUUCAUGGAAGGCCCGGUCAGAGAGAAGCCAGCGGAAGAUCUCACGGAGUCGGAGAAAGGGAUUCUCGCGUGGCUGGACAAGAACAAGUAGCUAGUGUUGAACAUGGGAGGAGCACGCCAACCAAAUAGCUGAUACAGCUUUCUCUGUAGGAAAAUUCCUUCCGCGGUGAAGUUCUCAAUGAGUUAAUAAGCUUAGCAUAUAGCACCUCACUUGCCUCUUAAACCUGGUGCAACUUGUUCUGUUUCAUCAUUGUCAUCUCAUCUGUGCAGUAGCACAAAUCUUUGCUUGAUCUGACAGUAUGUUACAUUUUUGUAAAAUCAGAAAAAAAACAUAAAAUGGAUACCAUUUAUAUAUACAUUUGUACUAUUAUUUUGUACAGUUACCUGACAGUGGACAAGAGAACUUUUCUCUUGCUCUGUACAUUUUCUUUUUUAAUCAGAAUGUAUUACUAGAAAUUUGUUGCGGAAAUGUCGAGAUAAAGGCAAGAGAAGUAAUUCAAAUAUGUGGUCUAAGAAAAAUAAAAAUAAAAUGCAGAUACCAGAAAGGCAAAAAAUGUUAAAUGGAAGAAGGUAUAAAUAUCAAACAGGCUGAGGUGUGACUUGUCCAAAACCCAAGCAGGACUGCAUAUUGUCUUUUUUUUGGAAACAGAGGACUGCAUAUUGUCAGAUUUGCCCCUGUGUGUUUCCAUCCAGAGAAAAACCUGUGGCCUUGGUCCAUUCCAGGAUUUCAUCAUAUCAUAUCAAGUAGCAGCAACCUGGCGACGCUUCCAUGUAGGAAAUCAAGAGAGCAAACUCAUCUCAUCCCAUGGCUCAGCCUCCAGGUAAGCUGAUGGACACAAUCAGAAGGCCGGUCACAGCAGCUUCAUCUCUUGGCCAAUCAGCGGCAAAUCAUCUCCAGCCACUGGUCACAUUGGCUCAGAGGAAUGGAGUUAACAGGAGGUGCCUCCUCACUCUGCUGGCAUCCGCCGCAGCCAUACCCGAGGCCAGUGAAUCAAGAAAGGCGCUAUUGCAAGAUUAUGUGAAGAGGUCAAAGGAAAACAAAGAGAAGAAUGACAAGGAGAGGCUGGACGACUUUUACAAGAGGAAUUACAAGGAUUAUUUCGGUUUCAUGGAAGGCUCGGUUAGAGAGAAGCCAGCGGAGGAGCUCACGGAGUCGGAGAAAGGAAUUCUUGCGUGGCUUGACAAGAACAAGUAGCCAGCUGCAUGAGAGGAGAACCACGCCAACCACCAAAUAGCUGAAACACCUUUUGUAUAGGAAAACUCCUUCCACGGUGAAGUUCAGCUUAUCAUGCGUGUAGUAGCACAAAUCUUUGCUUGAUCUCAUAUUAUGUUUCAUUUUUUGCAAAAUCAGAGAUUUUUGAAAGUUUUAGAAUUCAGGACAGGGAAAAUAAAAAAUUAUCCCAUCCCAAAUUCCCAAUCCACAUACAUUGUUGUCGUGCCCUCGGAAAAAUAUGGCUCCUUCUCCUCGGACGGGACGGCAGGGUCAGGUAUGAUAUUAAGAAGGAAUGACGGGAGCGUAAUCUUUGCUGCAUACCGUCAUUUACUCGUUUGUAAUGAUGCUCUUGAAGCCGAGCUCCAUGCAAUCAGUGGUGAUUCAAUCGGAUUUCUCAACAGCCUAUCGUCGUUAUCUGAGGCCCUGGAUCGGUUAGCUUAUGGUCAUCUUAUUUUAGAGAUCGGAGUCUUAUGGUCAGUACGGAGUUUGUUCCUAUGAAAAUUUCUAGGGACCAGAACAGAGUGGCAGUGUCUAUAGC
rnacentral:rRNA from 1 species